UACGUAGGGGCCUAGCGUUGUCCGGAUUUAUUGGGCGUAAAGAGCUCGUAGGCGGUUUGGUGAGUCGGGUGUGAAAUCUCCACGCUCAACGUGGAGGGGUCAUUCGAUACUGCCGUGACUAGAGUUCGGUAGGGGAGUGUGGAAUUCCUGGUGGAGCGGUGAAAUGCGCAGAUAUCAGGAGGAACAUCAGUUGCGAAGGCGGCUCUCUGGACCAGCACUGACACUGAGGCACGAAAGCGUGGGGAGCAAACAGG
rnacentral:rRNA from 1 species